rnacentral:rRNA from 1 species
AUUGAACGCUGGCGGCAUGCCUUACACAUGCAAGUCGAACGGUAACGGGCCCUCGGGUGCCGACGAGUGGCGAACGGGUGAGUAAUACAUCGGAACGUGCCCGAUCGUGGGGGAUAACGAGGCGAAAGCUUUGCUAAUACCGCAUACGAUCUACGGAUGAAAGCAGGGGACCGCAAGGCCUUGCGCGGACGGAGCGGCCGAUGGCAGAUUAGGUAGUUGGUGGGAUAAAAGCUUACCAAGCCGACGAUCUGUAGCUGGUCUGAGAGGAUGAUCAGCCACACUGGGACUGAGACACGGCCCAGACUCCUACGGGAGGCAGCAGUGGGGAAUUUUGGACAAUGGGCGCAAGCCUGAUCCAGCCAUGCCGCGUGCAGGAUGAAGGCCUUCGGGUUGUAAACUGCUUUUGUACGGAACGAAAAGCCUUCUUUUAAUACAGGAGGGUCAUGACGGUACCGUAAGAAUAAGCACCGGCUAACUACGU